UACGGGGGGAGCAAGCGUUGUUCGGAUUACUGGCGUAAAGGGCGCGUAGGCGGUCAGCACAAGUCAGUUGUGAAAUCUCCGGGCUUAACUCGGAAAGGUCAACUGAUACUGUGCGACUAGAGUGCAGAAGGGGCAACUGGAAUUCUCGGUGUAGCGGUGAAAUGCGUAGAUAUCGAGAGGAACACCUGCGGCGAAGGCGGGUUGCUGGGCUGACACUGACGCUGAUGCGCGAAAGCCAGGGAGCAAAGCGGG
rnacentral:rRNA from 1 species